rnacentral:rRNA from 1 species
AGAGUUUGAUCCUGGCUCAGGACGAACGCUGGCGGCAUGCCUAACACAUGCAAGUCGAGCGAGAAUUAUUUUAAGGAUUCUUCGGAUGAAUUAAAAUAAGGAAAGCGGCGGACGGGUGAGUAACGCGUGGGAAACCUGCCCUAUACAGGGGAAUAGCUCCGGGAAACCGGGAUUAAUGCCCCAUAAAACUCUAGUACCGCAUGGUACAUGAGUCAAAGUUUUAGCGGUAUAGGAUGGUCCCGCGUCCCAUUAGCUAGUUGGUAAGGUAAAAGCUUACCAAGGCGACGAUGGGUAGCCGGCCUGAGAGGGUGAACGGCCACACUGGAACUGAGACACGGUCCAGACUCCUACGGGAGGCAGCAGUGGGGAAUAUUGCACAAUGGGGGAAACCCUGAUGCAGCGAUGCCGCGUGAGCGAUGAAGGCCUUCGGGUCGUAAAGCUCUGUCCUUAGGGAAGAAUAAUGACGGUACCUAAGGAGGAAGCACCGGCUAACUACGUGCCAGCAGCCGCGGUAAUACGUAGGGUGCAAGCGUUGUCCGGAAUCACUGGGCGUAAAGGGUUCGUAGGCGGCCUAUCAAGUCAGGUGUGAAAGGCAUUGGCUCAACCAAUGUAAGCACUUGAAACUGGUGGGCUUGAGUACUGGAGAGGAGAGUGGAAUUCCUAGUGUAGCGGUGAAAUGCGUAGAUAUUAGGAGGAACACCAGUGGCGAAGGCGACUCUCUGGACAGUUACUGACGCUGAGGAACGAAAGCGUGGGGAGCAAACAGGAUUAGAUACCCUGGUAGUCCACGCCGUAAACGAUGAGUGCUAGGUGUUGGGGGCGACAGUCCUCAGUGCCGCAGCUAACGCAUUAAGCACUCCGCCUGGGGAGUACGGUCGCAAGACUGAAACUCAAA